GGGCGGUUAGCUCAGCUGGGAGAGCAUCAGGAUGGCAUUCUGAGGGUCGCAGGUUCGAUCCCUGUACCGUCCACCA
rnacentral:tRNA from 1 species